CUACCAUGAGCUUUGCUAAUCAUGUUUCUCAAAACAUGCUGUAUAUACACCAGGUGUGCUCAGAUGUGCUCCAUGGAGGUUCUACUCAGAGUCUCAGAAACAAUAUGGCUCAUCCUCCCAGAAGUUCAAAUCUUUAAGGGCAGGAGAGUAUGUAUUCUCAUGAUAAAACAAAGAGAGAGAUAUUUGGAAUAGAAUGUGAAAUUUAUGCAAGUUCUAGAAUACUUGAAAGUUCUCAAGAGAUUUCACACUUUGCCAUAGCAGCUACCUUGCUUUAAGUCUCAGAACUCUUGUGGUCUAGUCCUGAGCUAGGGACACUCUUAAGGCUGACAGGAUCCUAAAUGCCAGUUAUUACAUAAGAGCACAAGUUCGAGAACCAGGAGACUUGGGUUUCCCUCAUCAAUUUGGCUUUUAUGUUGUUGUUAUCUCUUGUGCUCUAGUCCCCAGAUCAAGGAUGGAUUUGGAUUCUUUGUCACAGAUCCAAGGGCCAUUUUUAAAGUUUUGUUAUUGAACUGGAAUGCAGCCAGAGUAACUGCCAUGCGAGCAAGCCCUCUACUUUUUAAGGAGACCGAAUCACACAUACUUUGUGAUGGAUGCUGUGAUGCACCACCUGGGUGGCCCUUCCAUAAAGAUUCGUCUCAGCUGCUAGACCUAGCACCUUCAUGGACCACACUCUGAUAUUGUUCCAAAGGACUAUCUUUAAGAAAAUAUCCAGCAACCAACCUUUGUGUCUGAAUCUACUGGGGCUGCUUCCUGAGAAAUUUAACCUCUUGCAUUCAUGCAUACAAAUACACAUACAUCAUCAUCAUUAUUAAAGAUAUUUUGUUAUAAGAAAUACAUAUUAUUAAACAGUAUAAUAAUAGAGGAAGAAUAUUAUAUUCACUAGUGAUUUCAUAAUUAUUCUAACUCCUGUUCUUGGACAUUAAUAGUCUUUCUAAUUUUUGCUAUUUUAUAUAUCACAUCACAAAAUACCCUUAUUCACAGUUAUUUUUGCAUGUAUGUAAAUAUAUCUGUAGGAUAAAUUUUCAAGAGUGAAAUUACUAGGUAAAAGGAGAUGUGUAUUUUAAAAACAUUUUGAUAUUACUGCCACAUUGCCUGUUGAAAAAGCGUAUACCGAUACAUACCACCACCA